rnacentral:rRNA from 1 species
UACGUAGGUGGCGAGCGUUAUCCGGAAUUAUUGGGCGUAAAGAGCGCGCAGGUGGUUGAUUAAGUCUGAUGUGAAAGCCCACGGCUUAACCGUGGAGGGUCAUUGGAAACUGGUCGACUUGAGUGCAGAAGAGGGAAGUGGAAUUCCAUGUGUAGCGGUGAAAUGCGUAGAGAUAUGGAGGAACACCAGUGGCGAAGGCGGCUUCCUGGUCUGUAACUGACACUGAGGCGCGAAAGCGUGGGGAGCAAACAGGAUUAGAUACCCCAGUAGUCC